rnacentral:rRNA from 1 species
AUUGAACGCUGGCGGCAGGCCUAACACAUGCAAGUCGAACGAGUGGCGGACGGGUGAGUAAUGUCUGGGAAACUGCCCGAUGGCGGGGGAUAACUACUGGAAACGGUAGCUAAUACCGCAUACCAUCGGAUGUGCCCCGAUGGGAUUAUCUAGUAGGUGGGGUAACGGCUCACCGAGGCGACGAUCCCUAGCUGGUCUGAGAGGAUGACCAGCCACACUGUAACUGAGACACGGUCCAGACUCCUACGGGAGGCAGCAGUGGUGAAUAUUGCACAAUGGGCGCAAGCCUGAUGCAGCCAUGCCGCGUGUAUGAAGAAGGCCGUCGGGUUUUAAAGUACUUUCAGCGAGGAGGCGUUACUCGCAGAAGAAGCACCGGCUAACUCCGUGCCAGCAGCCGCGGUAAUUC